AGGCCUGAGGGGGGAAUGUGGGGGGUUUUCAGGGGGGUGCGGCGGCCUCCAUAACCGCGUUCCCUCUCCCCUGGCUGAUGGGGAGCAGCCUGGAGCCCUCCAGGCGCCGUUCCCCUCACGGUGCAGUCGCUGUGUCCGUCCCUGAGGGGUUCCGUGAGGGGUCCGCGCCUUCCCCAGGGGCUGCUCGGGGAUGAGUCUCUCACAGACCUGUGCUGAUGGCGCGGUGAAGAUUGUAAAGUUCUCUGAGGGCUCGUCCUGCCCCGGUUCGGGAGUUGGCUGCGCCAUGUUUGUAACAUUUUGUGAUCCUAAGUCCUUUCUUUUUGUUUCAUUUUUAGUAUUUUUGCCCGCGAAACGAUGCUGGUGCCUGAGGCAUGAGCCAUGGGGACUGAGUGGGAGAAGCUGCAGCCCAGGGUGAUCUUCGGGCCACCAUGAAGUGACCGCAGUGCCCCCAACUCAGUGCGAGAUGCCUCACCCUGAGGUGACCCCUGGACCGCAGUGCCCCCAGCUCAGCCCCAGGACCCCCCCACACUGACCCCCCAGAUUCCACCACAGCCACGGGAGCUGCGGGACCCCUGGGCCUGCGUUCUGCCCCCCCGGGGGUCCUCACUGGGGUGACCCCCACCCCCACGGGGGAAUUUUGGGGGUUUUUAAUCCAAUUCGUGAAUUU